rnacentral:rRNA from 1 species
UACGGGGGGAGCAAGCGUUGUUCGGAUUUACUGGGCGUAAAGGGCGCGUAGGCGGCCAGCACAAGUCAGUUGUGAAAUCUCCGAGCUUAACUCGGAAAGGUCAACUGAUACUGUGCGGCUAGAGUGCGGAAGGGGCAACUGGAAUUCUUGGUGUAGCGGUGAAAUGCGUAGAUAUCAAGAGGAACACCUGCGGCGAAGGCGGGUUGCUGGGCCGACACUGACGCUGGUGCGCGAAAGCUAGGGGAGCGAACGGG